rnacentral:rRNA from 1 species
UACGUAGGGUGCAAGCGUUGUCCGGAAUUAUUGGGCGUAAAGAGCUCGUAGGCGGUCUGUCGCGUCUGCUGUGAAAACUCAGGGCUUAACCCUGAGCUUGCAGUGGGUACGGCAGACUAGAGUGCGGUAGGGGAGACUGGAAUUCCUGGUGUAGCGGUGAAAUGCGCAGAUAUCAGGAGGAACACCGGUGGCGAAGGCGGGUCUCUGGGCCGUAACUGACGCUGAGGAGCGAAAGCAUGGGGAGCGAACAGG